rnacentral:rRNA from 1 species
CCAGGUAUGAGGAGGAUGGGGGGGUAAGAGGUAGGGGGCGGGCGUUGUCUGGAGUGGUUGGGCGUAAAGCGGGCGUAGGCGGUUUGGUAAGCGGGGUGUGAAACCCUCGAGCUCAACUCGGGGCGGCCACUCGGAACUGUCAUGACUCGAGUCAGUUAGGGGAACACGGAAUUCCAGGGGUAGCGGGGAAAUGCUUAGAUAUCUGGAGGAACACCAGUGGCGAAGGCGGUGUUCUGGGCCUGUACUGACGCUGAUGCGCGAAAGCGUGGGGAGCGAACAGGAUUAGAUACCCCAGUAGUC